UACGUAGGGUGCAAGCGUUAAUCGGAAUUACUGGGCGUAAAGCGUGCGCAGGCGGUGAUGUAAGACAGUUGUGAAAUCCCCGGGCUCAACCUGGGAACUGCAUCUGUGACUGCAUUGCUGGAGUGCGGCAGAGGGGGAUGGAAUUCCGCGUGUAGCAGUGAAAUGCGUAGAUAUGCGGAGGAACACCGAUGGCGAAGGCAAUCCCCUGGGCCUGCACUGACGCUCAUGCGCGAAAGCGUGGGGAGCAAACAGG
rnacentral:rRNA from 1 species